rnacentral:rRNA from 1 species
AGGGUUUGAUUAUGGCUCAGGAUGAACGCUGGCGGCGUGCUUAACACAUGCAAGUCGAGCGAAGCACUUUGAUCGGAUUUCUUCGGAAUGACGAUUGAUUUGACUGAGCGGCGGACGGGUGAGUAACGCGUGGGUAACCUGCCUCACACAGGGGGAUAACAGUUGGAAACGGCUGCUAAUACCGCAUAAGCGCACGGGGACGCAUGUUUCUGUGUGAAAAACUCCGGUGGUGUGAGAUGGACCCGCGUCUGAUUAGGUAGUUGGUGAGGUAACGGCUCACCAAGCCGACGAUCAGUAGCCGACCUGAGAGGGUGACCGGCCACAUUGGGACUGAGACACGGCCCAA